CAAAAGCAAUAACUACACGCUCAUUGUAAAUUACAAUGCUCAUUACUUCGAUUUUCCUAAAACUCACCUUUUGAUUUCACCGUGAUUCUAAUGUUUCUUCGUUUUUACUCCCUCCAAGUAGUGGAUUUUCUUUCUUCAGGCAUUCACUCUAAGCUCCAUUCUCUACUAAUUUCAAGUGUUUAUCCAUCUACCCUACUCUCCUCUCCACUCAAGUGAAAAAUAUCAAAUUCAUAAUUUCUUAAUUUUCCAGGAAGUCCUAGGAAAUGUACAUAAAGGUGAGGUAUCAAACAAUGAUUAUCAAUACAUUAAUGAGCCAACUCCAGUCAACAGAGAAUGCAAUCAAACUCAGAGUGUUUAUGUCAGCACAACCACAACAACUGGUUGAGUCAAAUUGGUAUUACCUAUAAUACAAUUAUCAGAGGAUAUAAUGGUGGGAAAAGGCUUGCCUCAAAAUGAGAAAGCUCGGAUAAAAGCUCUUCAACAUUGGCUAUUUCUGUUGACAAGAAUUCAAUGCUUCUAAGUGACUCUGGUGUUCAGGUCCCUAUAACUACAACAAGCUUUGUUUUUUUUUUGUUUGUUUGUAUUGUAAUUCAGCUUGUUGGUUUUGGUAUGGAUCCUCCUUUUGUCUUGUAACUGCAUGCUUAGCUUCAAAGUCACUCUAGUAUUCUUUUUAAUGUUAUGUGUAUGACACUUAUCCUCUCUUUUCAAGGCUUACUACGUUUGUAGGAACCUUCUAUACUGAUAUGCUGCAGGGAGAUGGAUAAGAAAGCGGUUGAUUAUGUUCUCAAGGAUUCUAAAAGGAAAUAUGCUGAAAAGGCUAAAGCACAAGCACCCACGAUUAUCAUUGAUGAUGUCUCUCUCCCUCCAUAUCCCUCUACCUCACAAGAACAUGGUCCUUCAUGAAGUUCAGGAGGGGUAGUGUUGGCUUCUCAUGACGGAAAUAUAGUUUGUAAAAAUACUCUGGAUGCACAUCUGAAUGUGGCAUUAGCAGAAGUAGUUACCUCAGGUCUCACAAUGUUGUAAACUAUGCUCCUUGCUUAAAAGUAUUCUGUUGGUUGAUGUUUUGUGUACUUCCAAUUGGCAACAUAUUGCUGGUGGGACUAGUGUCACUCCAAUGCUCCAAGUAAUUGAGGCUAUUCUGAAGAAUCCAGAUGAUAAAGCUCAGGACAAACUUAAUUUGAAGUGAAAUUCAGAGCCAAUGCAUGUAGCCAUCAAAUAUGGAUCAAUCUCCAAGCAAAAACAACAAUUAAGGAAGCCACGAAAGUUGCCAAAAGAGAAAAGACUCUAUGAACUCAAUGUUUAUAACCUCGACCAAACCCACUAGAGGCCUCCAAGAUAUACUAAAUAGCCUCCGUUGCAGAAAAAGAAUACAUCAUUAGUUUCAGAUCCUAGAGCAAUGUCGCAGAAUAUGUCUUCGAAGGCUGUAGUUUAUUCAGCUCCAAUUCCAAUAAUACCGUCUUCUGUACCUAAAGAAAUCAGAGGGCCUGCUUUGUCUGUUUCUUCCUAGGAAGCAUGUGAGACUGAGGUGCAAGAGAAGUCCACUUCCUUUGACAAUGAUGUUCAUUACUGUUGGCCCAAUGCUGCUAAGUCCUAGCUUUGAACUUUUUUAUGGUGUAAUUUAUUUGGGAUUUUGAUAUUUGAAACCUAGCUGAUGCCAUUUUGGUGCAUUAUUUGGAUUAUUUUGAUGUUGAUUGAGGUUAGUUUUAUACUAAUAUAUAUUGGUGGUGGAUGAA